rnacentral:misc_RNA from 1 species
GGGGCAGUGAUGGUCGAAACGUUCCACACAGUUGUUACAAAUUGAACAAUGUGAACAACGUGGAGGCCUGUACAACAUGCAGGUGUCACAAUAUUUGGUUUUCACAGUUAUUCCAUUGACAGUCACAUCCUUGAUGCGUGGUAAACGUAAUUGGGGAGUUUGACCAGGUCCAGCUAGAGCACUCCCUUCAAAGUUUUCUGGUUCUGGAGGAUGAAGGUUGCGAGGAACUAUACCGGGAUCUCUUCCAGAAGUCAGUAGAAGAAGCACUAUGACAUAUACUGAGAAAACAACGGCUACAACCAUAAUCGACCACCCCCAGUCACCAGAAAAAUCAUCCACCAGUUUCCUCGCAACAAAGACACAAAAAACAGCAACUGGGGCGACUAUUAGGAAGAUAGUCAUAAAGACUGACCUGACAUCAGGUCCAAAAAUGAAUCUUCCUUGAAGAAUAAAUUUAUUACUUCCCUUCCAGACCUGAUAAGUCCGUAUAAAGGCGGCCUGAUUGGUUGCACCAUCGCCG